rnacentral:rRNA from 1 species
AUGAAUAUUAUACCUUGUUCCAUUAAAACACUCAAGGGGUCAUACAAUAUAUCGGGUGUAGAAGUAGGCCAACACUUCUAUUGGCAAAUAGGAGGUUUCCAAAUUCAUGCCCAAGUACUCAUCACUUCUUGGGUCGUAAUUACUAUCUUGCUAGGUUCAGUUGUCAUAGCUGUUCGGAAUCCACAAACCAUCCCGACCAACGGUCAGCUUUUUUUUGAAUAUGUCCUUGAGUUUAUUCGAGACUUGAGCAAAACUCAGAUUGGAGAAGAAUAUGGUCCCUGGGUUCCCUUUAUUGGAACUAUGUUCCUUUUUAUUUUUGUUCUGAAUUGGUCGGGUGCGCUUUUACCUUGGAAAAUUAUAGAGUUACCCCAUGGGGAAUUAGCAGCGCCCACGAAUGAUAUAAAUACUACUGUUGCUUUAGCUUUACUCACGUCAGCGGCAUAUUUUUAUGCUGGUCUUAGCAAAAAAGGAUUGAGCUAUUUCGAGAAAUAUAUUAAACCAACUCCAAUCCUUUUACCAAUUAACAUCCUAGAAGAUUUCACAAAACCAUUAUCACUUAGCUUUCGACUUUUCGGGAAUAUAUUGGCGGAUGAAUUAGUCGUUGUUGUUCUUGUUUCUUUAGUCCCCUUAGUAAUCCAUACCAAUUCGUUAUGUAUCGAUGAUGGAUGA